rnacentral:lncRNA from 1 species
GUUUGCCUAAUAAAAUACAGGAUGACAAUAUGUCAUGGGAAAUACUAUAUAUUAUUUGUCCUUUAUCUGAAAUUCAAAUUUAACUGAUCAUCCUGUAUUUUUAUUUGCUGAAUCCGACAAUCCCAGAUGAGUGAAAAGCCAUUUUCCAGGGACAGUACCUGAGUCACCCACACCUUCUGCCUGACAUUGAGCACAAAUAUUUGGAACUGUGGCAAAUCAUCUGCUGAUACUACUUGGACAUGAAAGCAUGUGAAAAAAAUCAGCAUUGUGUCUACAUGAGGGUCUCCACCUCCAUUUUAGGGCAUUCUCCAAAAAGGGGCAGCAAGAUGUUGGCC